rnacentral:rRNA from 1 species
AACGAACGCUGGCGGCAUGCCUAACACAUGCAAGUCGAACGAGACCUUCGGGUCUAGUGGCGCACGGGUGCGUAACGCGUGGGAACCUGCCCUUAGGUUCGGAAUAACUCCCCGACAGGGGUGCUAAUACCGGAUAAUGUCUUCGGACCAAAGAUUUAUCGCCUUUGGAUGGGCCCGCGUUGGAUUAGCUAGUUGGUAGGGUAAAAGCCUACCAAGGCGACGAUCCAUAGCUGGUCUGAGAGGAUGAUCAGCCACACUGGGACUGAGACACGGCCCAGACUCCUACGGGAGGCAGCAGUGGGGAAUAUUGGACAAUGGGCGAAAGCCUGAUCCAGCAAUGCCGCGUGAGUGAUGAAGGCCUUAGGGUUGUAAAGCUCGUUUACCCGGGAUGAUAAUGACAGUACCGGGAGAAUAAGCUCCGGCUAACUCCGUG